GACGAACGCUGGCGGCGUGCUUAACACAUGCAAGUCGAACGGAGUUCCUUGGAUAGAGGUUUCGGCCAAUUGAAUUGGGACUUAGUGGCGGACUGGUGAGUAACGCGUGAGGAACCUGCCUUUCAGAGGGGGACAACAGUUGGAAACGACUGCUAAUACCGCAUGACGCAUGACUGGGGCAUCCCGGACAUGCCAAAGAUUUUAUCGCUGAAAGAUGGCCUCGCGUCUGAUUAGCUAGUUGGUGGGGUAACGGCCUACCAAGGCGACGAUCAGUAGCCGGACUGAGAGGUUGACCGGCCACAUUGGGACUGAGAUACGGCCCAGACUCCUACGGGAGGCAGCAGUGGGGAAUAUUGGGCAAUGGACGCAAGUCUGACCCAGCAACGCCGCGUGAAGGAAGAAGGCUUUCGGGUUGUAAACUUCUUUAAGGGGAAGAGUAGAAGACGGUACCCUUGAAUAAGCCACGGCUAACUACGUGCCAGCAGCCGCGGU
rnacentral:rRNA from 1 species